rnacentral:rRNA from 1 species
AGUGAACGCUGGCGGUAGGCCUAACACAUGCAAGUCGAACGGCAGCACAGUAAGAGCUUGCUCUUACGGGUGGCGAGUGGCGGACGGGUGAGGAAUACAUCGGAAUCUACUUUUUCGUGGGGGAUAACGUAGGGAAACUUACGCUAAUACCGCAUACGACCUACGGGUGAAAGCAGGGGAUCUUCGGACCUUGCGCGAUUGAAUGAGCCGAUGUCGGAUUAGCUAGUUGGCGGGGUAAAGGCCCACCAAGGCGACGAUCCGUAGCUGGUCUGAGAGGAUGGACAGCCACACUGGAACUUGGACACGGUCCAGACUCCUACGGGAGGCAGCAGUGGGGAAAAUUGGACAAUGGGCGCAAGCCUGAUCCAGCCAUACCGCGUGGGGGAAGAAGGCCUUCGGGUUGUAAAGCCCUUUUGUUGGGAAAGAAAAGCAGCAGGUUAAUACCCCGCUGUUCUGACGGGACCCAAAGAAUAAGCACCGGCUAACUUCGUG